UGUAUAUAUAUAUAUAUAUAUAUAUCUUUAUUUAGCAUCCACUUUCCAUGCUGGCAUGGGUUGGAUGGUUUGACUAAAACUGGUAUGCCAGAGAGAUGUACCAGGUUCCUGUCUGAUUUGGCUUGGUUUCUAUGGCUGGAUGUCCUUCCUAAUGCCAACCACUCCAAGGGUGUAGUGGGUGCCCUUUAUGUGUCACUGGCAUGGGUGCCUUUUA